GGACCCGCACAAGCGGUGGAUGAUGUGGAUUAAUUCGAUGCAACGCGAAAAACCUUACCUACCCUUGACAUGUCAGGAAUUUUGCAGAGAUGCGAAAGUGCUCGAAAGAGAACCUGAACACAGGUGCUGCAUGGCUGUCGUCAGCUCGUGUCGUGAGAUGUUGGGUUAAGUCCCGCAACGAGCGCAACCCUUGUCAUUAGUUGCUACGCAAGGGCACUCUAAUGAGACUGCCGGUGACAAACCGGAGGAAGGUGGGGACGACGUCAAGUCCUCAUGGCCCUUAUGGGUAGGGCUUCACACGUCAUACAAUGGUUGGUACAGAGGGUUGCGAACCCGCGAGGGGAAGCUAAUCCCAAAAAACCAAUCGUAGUCCGGAUUGCAGUCUGCAACUCGACUGCAUGAAGUCGGAAUCGCUAGUAAUCGCGGAUC
rnacentral:rRNA from 1 species